AUACGGAAGGUCCGGGCGUUAUCCGGAUUUAUUGGGUUUAAAGGGUGCGCAGGCGGGAAAUUAAGUCGGCGGUGAAAUUUUUCAGCUCAACUGUAAAAGGGCCUUCGAAACUGGGUUCCUUGAGUGUAGGUGAAGUAGGCGGAAUUUGUGGUGGAGCGGUGAAAUGCAUAGAUAUCACGAGGAACUCCGAUUGCGCAGGCAGCUUACUAAACUACUACUGACGCUCAGGCACGAAGGCGUGGGGAUCAAACAGGAUUAGAUACCCUGGUAGUCCACGCAGUAAACGAUGAUUACUAGCUGUUUGCGAUACAAUGUAAGCGGCUGAGCGAAAGCGUUAAGUAAUCCACCUGGGGAGUACGUUCGCAAGAAUGAAACUCAAAGGAAUUGACGGGG
rnacentral:rRNA from 1 species